rnacentral:lncRNA from 1 species
GGAUAAUGCAGAUGAAGCAGAACCACCAAGCAAUUUACUACUACUUUCUCCAAGAAAACAAACUGCCACCACCACAACUGCCAGCCCGAGUACAGCUGAAUUAUUGCACGACAAAGAUACACACAUUAACUACAGUUUGUAUAUUUUUCUUAUUUAUUCAAAAGCUAGGGGAUGACAAAAGGGUUAAAAUGCUUGACUCCACCUAUUUAUUACAUGAACAAAUACUUAGAUCCAUCAGAGACUCGUUUUACAAGUCUCUCAGUCCAAAAACCACACACAAAUUAGAUUUUAUACACAAAUGUUUAUUUCUCAAAUAAACAACCCCUUUAAACACAAGGAAUGAAAUCUAAAUCUUCAUAAAGAUGAACCAAAAAUGAAAUCCCUCCUGUAUACUGUAAUCACUGUUUUCUUGGUCACUACUGGCUUUAACUGUUUAACAUCAAAAAACAAGGACAUAUUUAAAAAAUCAUGCUACUGGAUUCCUACCUCUGCCUCUGCCCAGCUCUAUACUCAUCUCCAAUAUUUUAAAAUUUUACAUCAUCAAAUCUGAAGCAUUUAUGUGAAGAACAGCUGUGCAUUAAACACAAACAACAGAACAAGAAGAUUAUAAGAUGUAGUCAAGUUCAUAACGAAUAUAGGUGUUCUUUUCAUCGUUAUAGAUUCUUGGAUAGUGUGCUAUCAGAGCAUCCUGUGAGCCGAUGUAGAUGGAAUUAUAGAUCUUCCAAUAAACGUCUCUGACUUUCCGGGCAGGGUGAAACAAACCCUGCAAACAAUACUGCAACAUUCGGCAAGGGCCAAUAGCAACUCUGAGGCCCUCCAGAGCCCCCAUGACUGCCUGAAUGACGUGUGGAGAGGUUUCAAACACAUUAGGCCAUACGUAGUUUAACAAAUGAUUAAGGGAAUCUUCACAGCCAAACCCAUAAACACCAAGAGACAUGUGUUGCACCACAGCACUGGCUGUUUGUCUGUGUACAAGAUCUCUGUCCAUUAAAGCGUCUUCAAGCAAUGGCGUAACGGCAUAAAUAUAAUCUUUUCCCAUCUCUCCAAUGUAUUCAAACAGGAAAGAAAGAGAUUUUAACACACCAUUCUGGACAUUCAGUUCUGGAACUCUGUAUUCAUUCAUGAGCGCAGGCAGCACUGUGAAAGGUGAGCAUGUUUCAGCUACAAUAGCAAUUGCUACUGUAGUACAGACUCUGUUCUGCCUUUCCUGAACUUUCAAGUUAUUCAGCAACGUAGCCAAGACAUCGUGAGGUCCAAUAGCUUUUGCAAUAUAUCCGAAAGUAUUUACUGUGGCUCUUCGAAUAGCCUUCUUGUGAGCUUUUAGUAACUCCAGCAGCUCAAAGCAGAUCCUCAUCCAUUCUCUUGCAGAAACAUAUUCUGCACCUCUGUCUGCAAUGCGCCCAACCAGAUCGAUACAAUUCUCCUGUACUUUCUCAUGUCUGUUCUUCAAAAUAGGUGUAAGCCGUGGCAGCAGAUCUUUGAUAGGUGGAGUCAUCUUGUGCAUACCUAUGACAUUAACAAUAGCCUUAAGCGCUCCAAGGAUGCUGCCCAGUACCUCUGGAUAUUCUUCACCCAGGUACUCAUACAGCACAACACCCAGAUGUCCCAUCAGUUUUUCCUCUUGACAAGUCUUCAUGACCACCGCAGUACGAGAGAUGAGGUCAGCAGCCUGCUGCCGCACCUUCGCCGACUUGUUGUUCAAACGCCACAGAACCGUACCGCAGAUCUGCGGCAGGUAGGGCUUCACUCUUUUGCCAAGAGCAUUAACCACUGUGCCAAAGCCAUUCAGCAUCACAGAAUCCUCUGUGGUCUGUUCUUGAAAGGCAUACAAGAUCCCAUCAAUUAGUUGUUCUUCUAGCUUAUGAUCAAUGUCUGCCGCACCCAGAUUUCCCAUUAUCUUCUCAAUUGUUUCCAUGACCAUUUUUCUGUACUGUUCAGCCUCAUCUUUCAGAUCAUCCACAAUCCUAGAAAUAAUUUCUGCUGCUCCAACUUUAUUUGCCAGCUCCACUGUUGUAUCCACCAGCUGUCUGUAAUUUCUCCUGUCCAAUGCCAUUCUGUGCUGCCAGAAGUGUUUGAAAAAUGGUGGCAAGAUUUCUGUUUUAAUGUAGUUUGCUUCAACACCAUCUGUACCACAACACUGCUUUACCACCUUCAGAACAAUUUUUUUCAUCUCUUCAUCAGGAGACUGGAACUCUCUGAUAAGAAUUAACAUGACUUCUCUGGUAUAAUAGUUUGCAUACUCAGCAUCCAUGAGUGGAAUCAGAUAACCAAUAGCCUUCAAAAAUGCAGCCAAACCCUUUCCUCUGUGUUGACGUAUACCCUUCCAUAAAGGCUUCAGAACAGAAUCGAAUGACUCAAUACCAUAGGGAGUAGCUGCCUCAGCUAAAGCAGCAAUAGCCAAAGCACUGAUGGUACGAACCUUCUGCUGCUCAUCCACAAGACCAUGUUCAAUAAUUUCAACCAAGCUCCUGAGAUGAGGCAAGAUAGCACAACCCAUAAGAAUAGCAAUUUGCUGCACAAUCUUGAUGCCAGUAUGCCUCGCUUGCCAGGAUUUUUUGCUUUUACAGACAGCUUUCAAGAACGGCAACAGAGAAGGAAUGCCCAAAGCAGAGGCAACAACAGCAAAGGCUCGAGCUGUGGUAUUUCGGACGUAUUCAUCCAUGUUAUCAAUAUCAGGUCGCAUCGUAGAAAUCAUUGUUGCCAAACCAGCAGCCUUAGCCAAGUUGGAAAUAAUUUCUCUGCCUUCCACUCUGGCGUAAUAGUCUUCAUCAAUCAGCAGUGGUUCAAUGACGACAAGAAUCUUAUGUACGUAUGGUCGGACCAGGUCAUCCAGUUUGUACAGAAUUCUGUCUAUGACUUUGACAAGUAAGUGGCGCUCCUGAUCCUCCAGUGUUGGGGACAUCAGCAAUGGUAGAAUCUGAUUAAACAGUGGCCCAGCUCCAAAUUCCCGAGCUUUAUCAGUAAUUUGUCUCAAUGCAGCCUUUCUCAUGGGAGGUGUGCCAUUCUUUAUUUUCAAAAGUAAUUUCAUUAUCUUCCUCUCCUUCUGCUCUUCAGGACUGAGAGUUGAUUCAUCAACAUCAACCAGCAGCUUAUCGAAGUACUGGAUAUCAUCUGGCUUCAGGAAUGGAAGGUUGCCAGAAGGCUGGUCAUUGACACUCUUCAUAGUCCGGUCCUCUGUCUGCAUGUGGAAUCCAGUCAUACCACCCAAAGGUGUGGGAGUUGCUGUAAGUUUACGUGCUGGAGUACGAAUAGGUACAUAACCAGCUGGUGGGGGAAGAACCUUAUAUCCUUCUGGGAACAUAGCAUCCAAUUCUUCAUCAGAAAGUGGUCUGUUUCUCUCAUCAAUUUCCCUCUCCCAGCGCCAAGCCUGCAGCUGUUCAGGAGUCAUGCUCAUGAUAUGACCUGGCGUAGGAGUUGCCAUGUUCAUAGCUGGUGUACCAAUGGGUGUUUUGCCAGGUGUCAAAACAGGAGUGCUGCCACCCAUCUGGCUAGCAGGUGUUUCAUCCCAUCGGGACUUUCUUUUACUUGCUCCUGGGGUUGGUGUCUCACCAAUGGAAUCACCACCUCUAUCCGUACGAGGAGUCUCAGCCCAUCCACUGCCAUGUCCCGGAGUAUCUCUUUCUGUUUUAGGAGUUUCAUCCCAUCGAUUUUUACGUGCGCUGGAAGUGGCACCUCCAUGGCCUGGUGUUGCAUGACCAGGUGUGUCCCGUCCAGGUGUUGCAGCUCCUGCUGGCGUGUGACUGGGAGUGGGAUCCCAUAUCUUUGAGCCAGGGGUGGCACCGGGAGUUUCGCUACCCUUUGCACGGCCUGGAGUUUCAUCCCAUCGCAGAGAUGGUGUGUGUCCAGGAGUCUCUGCUUGAUCCCAACUGGAUAACUUUUUAGGUGUUGCACCAGGAGUCUGAUCAGCUGUUUGAUCCCAACGCCGCUUGCGUUUUGAUGGUGGCUGAGAUGCGGCUCCAUUGACGACUUUAAGCUCUCCAGCUUUAGCUUUUUCAGCUAGCUGUUGCCUAAUCUCCCUCUCUUCUUUUGUUAAAUGCUGUUCACGCAUAACAUCCAUGUAUGUUCUGGCAUUCAUUUUAGGGUCUGGUGUCUUCCCUCCAUCUGCAAAAGGAUCAAGACGCUCAGGGGAAAUUAUCAUCAUCCGCCUGUGCUUUUUGUACUCAUCUUCCCGAUCUGCAAUCUUUUGGGGACGGUGUUCUGCAAAAGGAUCAUACUGUUCAGUUGACUGCGGUAUGUCAUUAAGCAGUGCCACUGGAGCAUGGUACCCUGGCUUCUUCUGGCCAAGCAAACUUGUAGAUGGGUAAUCAUCAUCAUCGUCUUCCAAUUCAGUUGCUGCAAUGGAAGUUACGUAUCCAGCAAACCUGCUGUCGCUGCCGCCAUAAAUCUCUUGAUCAUAAUAUCCGGUGGAGUCGAGGCCUACUCCUUGUGCUUCAUCGAGGGCAGGCUUUUUGCCUUGAAUUUCUCGGAUCUGUGCUUCGAUAUCUUCGUGGGUCUUGGCAAUCUUCGCCAUUUUGUCCAGCGCGAACAACGCCGAGACGGAACUGCCGCGGCCCCACCACUUCCGCUCCGAGGGUGGGGGGGGGAGGGGAGGCGAGACUGCAGUGCGCAGGCGCAGCUGCGGGCCGCGCCGCGGCUUGCCGAGCACUGGGGCCUUGCGCAAGCGCAGCGCCGGCGGCGAAAAGCGCCACUCGGUCGGCCGGGCGGCCCUGCAGGCCGAAUUCGGAGCCACGCCCUCCUUUUGACUGACAUAUCUGCCAGCCAAUAGGAAUGCGGCGUAGAAGCCGAAGUGGCCAAUAGUGGUACGGCGGGGCUGAGGGGUCGGGAUGCGUGUGAGGGCUUGAGCGCUGCGGGCCGUGGGCCGUCUGCUACAAGAUGGCGCCGGUCGGUUGUUGAGUGUGGCGCGUCCUGAGGGCGGCUGGGCCGCGCCGCUACUUGCCCAGUUAUUUGGGCUUUGUUCGCCAGCCGUGUGGGAGACAAGUUGCUGCAGAGCACAAUAAAACAUGUACACGUACUCAAAUGUUGGCAGUUGCAAUCGAGCGUAGGAAUUCCACAUAGCCAGAGCACUGAGAAGGUACCCAGGGGUUGACAGCGAACAUGUAUCAGUAGCAGCGUGCCACCACUGCAGAAGUAAAUCCGAUCCCAGGGCUACUCAUGGCAGUGUUGUAUGCGAAGUCUAGAAAGCAGUCGCUUUGCUGUGCUUGGCACAGCACUGCUCAGGGAGUACUGGAGGGCAGAGUUAAUUUGGGGACAUGGCAGUCCAACGCAGACGUGGACAAACUCAGCUGUGCCUGAAGAGAAUAAGCAGAGCAUUCAGAGGUGUGUCAGACUUCACCCCAGCGUGGGACUUGGGAAUGUAAACAGCAGCUAAUGGCUUGGCUGGGGCAGUUUCUGAUUCAUUUUGUAAACUGAUAAUCUUCUAUUGUUUCAGUUCUUUUGGUGUGAUAGAUCCAUUUCAACAUCAUUGCCUAUAGUGUGCAUGGUAACUGAAUGGGGUUUAUUCUGUUCCCAUCCAAAACCCCAGAAGCUCUCCCUUAAGCUCAAGUGCUGUGAACAUCAUUCUCAGUUUUCUGUAACAGUAAGCAAAAGCCCGAGUAAAACACUAACACUGACCAUGCAACCUGAGUUCCAAGUCUGAUUGCUUGAGCAUACAAUGCCUUGAUAUUUCAUAACAUGCUGUAUAAAACAUAAUCUUAUAUAAAUUAUUCAGCAUCAUGCUGUUUUACUGUGCAACUGCUAACUUUCUAAUCUCCUCAAAAGCCUUUGCUGCAAGGAAAGCAAACCAGUUUUUGGUUUGUCAACGUAGGAACCUCUGGAAAGUUAAGACAUAAGGUAUUUGCAACAAGAGGACAAAGGCACGAUGGCAACACUACUCAUAAAUCAUUCCCACUAAUAAAGUUAACUUCACAGCUUCUUGAGGAUUGUCUUACAUAAAGCCAAUGUUUUGUGUUUGUGAGAAUAUGUGUUUAUCAUUCAGUUCGUCUGUGUCUGUCUUUGCUUUUUUAUUGCUUAGUUUGCAGAAGUUUACUGAGUAAUUCAGUGUUCGUAAUAUUUUACAUAACUGCAUGCAUUGAAAUAUUCUUAAGAGAGUUUCAUUUGAAAGUACAGAGGAUCUGCUCUUUAGUAUUAUUAAACUCACAUCCUGGAUUCAUAGAAAGAUGCAUUCAUAGGCUAUGGAACAGAGAUAUAUACCGAGCUGCUGAGAGACAUGUGAGGAUAAGGUCAAGGCAGACAGUAAUUCCCUUCUACAGGAAUUUAAUGCCUGUAACUAUUUUAAGUAACUGUCACAUGCUUGGGUUCACCAUGAAGAUCAAUUUGCAGUAACUUUCUCUUGUUUCUUCAGCUUGACUUCCAGCUCACUUUAUGGGCAGCAAUAUUAUAUUCCCACUGUUAUUAAGCAGAACUGAGCUCAAGAGUUGCGAUCCUAAGGCACACUUCUAAAAUGUGAUUUUGGAAUAUGCUAUUUCCCUCACCAAAGGAGUUCUGUGUUGUAAGAGCGAAGAUAAAG